rnacentral:rRNA from 1 species
UACGUAGGGGGCAAGCGUUGUCCGGAUUUAUUGGGCGUAAAGAGCGUGUAGGCGGCUAGAUAGGUCCGUUGUGAAAACUCGAGGCUCAACCUCGAGACGUCGAUGGAAACCAUCUGGCUAGAGUCCGGAAGAGGAGAGUGGAAUUCCGUGGAUGUAGCGGUGAAAUGCGCAGAUAUCAGGAAGAACACCCGUGGCGAAGGCGGCUCUCUGGUACGUGACUGACGCUGAGACGCGAAAGCGUGGGGAGCAAACAGG